rnacentral:rRNA from 1 species
CCUACGUGAGGCAGCAGUGGGGAAUAUUGCACAAUGGGGGCAACCCUGAUGCAGCGACGCCGCGUGAGUGAAGAAGUAUCUCGGUUUGUAAAGCUCUAUUAGCAGGGAAGAAAAUGACGGCACCUGACUAAGAAUCCCCGGCGAACUACGUGCCAGCAGCCGCGGCAAUACGGCGGGGGCAAGCGUUAUCCGGAUUUACUGGGUGUAAAGGGAGCGUAGUAGGCGCGUCAAGUCUGAAGUGAAAGGCAGGGGCUUAACCGCUGAAUUGCAUUUGAUACUGGCAUUCUAGAGUACUGGAGAGGUAGGUGGAAUUCCUGGUGUAGCGGUGAAAUGCGUAGAUAUUAGGAGGAACACCAGUGGCGAAGGCGGCUUACUGGACAGUAACUGACGUUGAGGCUCGAAAGCGUGGGGAGCAAACAGGAUUAGAUACCCCUGUAGUC